rnacentral:lncRNA from 1 species
GAGCUAUUUUUGCACUGCACAAAGCUGGAAUUCCUAAGAUCAGAAAAAUGGUACAAGAAGAUACAAAUCACUAACAUGCUCAAAAAAUUGCAAAAUUAAUUCAAAAUCAGCAGAUGAAAAGCAACAAUGGCAGAAACAUACUUCAACAACAAACAACAUGCAAAGUAAUUUAAAGGCAAGGAUUAAUAGGAACAAGAACCUGAUAGCAGCAAUUAACGUUCUUCAGUUUAGCUCAAUACAGUUGAGACGCUACUCUGGAAAAUUAGAUGCAACCUAGAUUGAAGCCAGAAUAGAGGUGUAAAUAGAUUGUAAAAUAUAUAAAUCAGGGAUUGACAUUGAGAAUGAUUAAAUCUGCAGUUGAAAAUGAGUUCUUUUGAAUGCAACAACUACAUCCAGCGAGAUUUUUGAAUGUCAAUGCAUUCAAACAGUAGAAAAAUUGGAUCUAAAUAUGCAAUCCCUUGAUAUAUAUAGUAAUAAUCUAUAACACUAAACAACUUAAAUCUCUUAUUUUUUCUUGAAUCUAAUCUUUAGUAAGAUGGUGGUAUUAGCUUCUUUGAAGCUCAACCCAUUAACUACGGAUUAAAUGAAAAGGAAAAGAGGAACUUACCUUCAAGAAAUCAGGUGACAAGCUGGAGACAUGGUCAAGAGCAUGGGAGUUAAGGAAGUCGAUGGUGGAGCCAUGGAUUCCGAUGAAGGCGGCGGCCGAUUUGAUUUCCUCUUUUGACUGAUCAGACCCUUUGUCUUAUUUGGGUUUGUUUUUUGUAUUUGAUUUGCAUGGACUCGGGUCCUCUCUUUAUGGGCUGAUCUUUGAUUCAUUUGUUUUUGUUUAUAAAAUGAGCUAAAAGAUC